ACCCGGGAAAGCUCAGUCAGUAGAGCAUGAGACUGUUACUCUCAAGGUUGUGGGUUCGAGUCCCAUGUUAGGCA